UACGUGCAUGAAGAUAGGUGACUCA
rnacentral:piRNA from 1 species